AAAAAAAAUGCUUCUUUUCUGCAAGGAGCUGAGCAUAAAUGUAAAUAAUAAUAUGUUAAUUAAUUUCUUAUGAAAGGAGUAGCAGCCAAGGUUUGUUUGCUUCGCUCUGCCUCCUCCUUCGCGCAUUAAUAAGUCCACGUGGUGGCUGGACGUCGUGGAAGAUGCGGCUGAGUUUGUUUGGUUUGUGUCAUCGGCGGCGUGGGUCAUGUCGUGGGUCUGUUGUCAGUCUGGUUAGUGCUUUGUGGUUUCUCUGAUUUGUCGUGGCCUUGUGGUCGUGGACACGUGGCUGCUGUUGCUGCUUUGUGGUUUCUUUGGUCUGCUGUGUAGUCUUCAUUGUGGCUGCGCUGGUUUAGGAUUAGGAAGAUGGAAUUAGGGAUUUGAACAUCUGUCGCUAGAGGGUGUUUUAUAUUUUCUUUCUUUUUUCUAUUUUUUUCUUAAGUAGCUAUGUUAAAG
rnacentral:lncRNA from 1 species